AGAAGGGUCUGGCUGCAGACCAUGGGCGAGUGGAGCUCCACUCUCAAACCGGAAAUACGUCACCUCCACUUGAAAACAUCAAGAUGGCGUCGCCGGGAGUACUUCAAACUUAAACUCAGGGAUAGGAUUGGCAUGGAAGAUGCAGCACUCUUUACAUUUUAAAUAUCAAAUGUAUAUCAAGUGUUAUCCAUCCUCAUAACACCUCCACAAAUAGAGAGUGGAACUUCUGAGCACCAUCACCUUGUCUGCUUUGGGGCUGUCAUAGUUGAAUGAUGCAGUACUAUUCUGUGUUGAAUUUACCUAACGUCAGCACACAGACAUAGUAUUGUUCCAGUUUUGCUGUGCUCAUGUCUUCUUUGUGUCCCCAGCCCAGCAAUCAGAUGCAUCAGAACAACAAAGCACAACUGUGGUGGACCAGGCACCUUCAGCAACAAAGAUUUAACAACACUGUCAGUCAGGAGCAUAUUUAACAGGAGGCACACUUCAGCUGGCUUGAUGGUGACUUCAAGCAAUGUCAAGCAAGUUAAGAAACUGUAGACGAAGCCUUGCUGCAGCUUUGGAUCAAGCAGCAGAUGUUUCUGAUUUAUCAUCGUCGUCUCCAAACAACUGCAGCCUGAUUACAACAUCACAGGAUGACACGAAUGAGGACUUUCAGUGGCGCACACGGUCUGCAAAACUGCAAGAUCUUCAUGGGCUCCUCGAUGUACAGACCUUGGAGGAUCUUGUGGCAAAGCUGGAGUUUGAAAAUGAGCUGAACCGCGUCUACAGUAGAUUCCUGCAAAGUCAAAACCAAGAGCAUGGAGAGAACACAGAAAGUGUGAAUAGUGAUGUGGAAGAGGGAAGUGCAGGCCGCUGGGUUCACGAUAGUAAGGAGGAAUAUUCCUUCUUGUUAGACGUGAUUCUUGAGAUAGAGCGGGACAAUGACUUCACUGCUGACUGUGAUGUCAGUGCUUUGGAGCGGGAUUUACAGUUAUCAUCAUAGUUUUGGUGCCCUCAACUAUUUUAUAUAUUUCAAAACACAAUAUGAGCUACUAAAAACUUCUGGCUACUUGGAAAGUUGUAUAGAUGUAUGUUUGUAUAGCAGAGUUUAUAGCAAUACAGUAUAUGCAUGACUUUCUUAAUUACUACUUGUGUAAAUUAAUUCAUUUCUGCAAUAGGAAUCAAUAUCAAUAAAACAUUAAUAAUCACCCCAUUGAUUCUAAAAGACAUGUAAUCUAUUUUAAUAAAACAUUGAUCUGUUUAAAUUACACAGAAAAAAACUGCAUUAUCUGCCUUUCUCUGAACAAAAAACAGAUGACAGAACUGGUGGUAAAAUAUUCUAUAUUUGUUCAGAUAUAUUGCUAUUGAUCUAAGUUUUAAUUUGUUUUUGUUUUUAUGUCUAUAUAUAUUAGACUGAAUAAAAUAGUAGAAAUACUACUAGUGGUCUACACAGUUAAAGAUUUUCUUUAUUUGCUUGUUAUAAUUUCAGUUUAAUGACUAAAUAAACAGUGUUUUUGUUUAUAAUAGUAAAAAACAUUACUAUUAAUCUAAAUCCUUUUACAUGUUUUAUUUUGUUCUAAUAUCUUUAUACUUAUAACACUGAAUAAAAUAUUUACAGGUUAUGGCCACUAGUGGUAAAUGUAUGCUUUUGUUUAGAAAUGGUAGAAAUAUUAUUGUGGAUCUUUAUGGCUUUAAUUUUGUCAUAUCUAUAUACAGUAUGAUGUUUCAUUUAAAUAUAAUCUCAAAAUAACAAGUCUGUGUCAUUUUAAUUAGGUAAAUGACUACAUAAGCAUAUGACACAAGUAUGACAAAACAUCACUUGCACUGUGGAUAGUUUUUUUCAGCAUAUGCACAAAGUGCACAAAGUGUCAGCAUGACAAAGCAAAAUCUAAACUGGAUUCACUAUCAUGCUGAUGAUUAAAACUACGGUUAUUUAGUUAGAAUUUGGAGG